CUCUUUCUUUGGAGUAAAGACCGGUCUACACUGACAGACAUUAUCUGCCCGCGACGGGCGAUUGGGUAACGCCGCGGACUAGGGUGGCUGUCCCAAUAACCUAAUAACGAUACUUUAUUUUGUUUUAGGCGAAAAUAAAACGUUGGUAAUGCGUAUACGAGGAGGACAAAUUUUAUGAUUGAAUUUUAUGAUCGUAUAGGCAGAGUGGAUGUAUAGAUCGAAAAUCGAAUCUCCUUGUUAAAAAAUGAUUGUUUCGUACAUGUAUCAAAAUUAAAGGACCGACUGAGAAAACGAUAUUUCAAACAAAGGCAAAUCGAAGAGAGAGAAACUCGUAAGAGAUACACGCGUAUCCGAUCCAAUAAGAAUAGAAACACAUAUCGUAUUACCAUACUAAGCCGUUGUCGAGCGAACAAACGAAAUAAUGGCGCACAAAAAACCGAAAUUGAUACAUACAUACAUAUAUAUAUAUAUAUACAUAUACGUAGCACAUGCCAGUUUCCAUUGACACCGAGCCCCUCCUCAAUUGUCCGUCAGUGUGGACCGGGCUUAAGAGAGGACCGACACACGACUCUGUGUGUAAGCGACCAAGGAAACAACCGGACAAGAGGGAGACGGACGGAGGACGAAGAGGAAUGGACGGCUAGAUCGUGCGCGAGAGAAGCGGCUACCGAGAACACCGACACCUUCCGCGACUCUUAUUUUUCACAUCCUGCUCACCGGCGACCUAUUUUUAAGCCGAUGCCUCCCCCCACCCCUCCCCUCGAGUCCGCGGAGGGAAAAAAACCCUUGGGAAAACGGACCGGACGGGAACACCGCUCUCCUCAACCCUACCGGAUCUUUGGAACGCGUAUAGGUUUCUUCUCCGCUAUCUCUUCCCCUCCUGUUUGCUUAGCUAGCCAGUUAUCGUCCGCUAAAAUGCGUUCCUCAGGAAUUCUGCUCCCACUCCCCCCGUGUUUCCGUUUUUCUAGAGUGACAGAACGAUGAUGCGAUACGAAACGAUUCUUGUUGUAUAGAGUGGAGUAAAGUGGAUUGUAAAUAUAUGUAUCGUUUUGUUUUUUUUUUUUUUAGGUUGAUAUGUAUAUAGAUAUAUAUAUAUAUAUGGAGAAGAGAAAUGAUUGUUGUUGAGAAUGGCGAACUUUUGGAUCUUUAAAAGUUGGAGAUAAUUCGAUUCGAUUCGAAACAAUGUUAAUUUGAAUUUAUAUUUGGAUCGCUUUCGAAUGAAUGCGUUUAACCGA